CUGGCCUACGGGGGGCAGCAGUGAGGAAUAUUGGUCAAUGGGCGAGAGCCUGAACCAGCCAAGUCGCGUGAGGGAUGACUGCCCUAUGGGUUGUAAACCUCUUUUGUAUGGGGGGAAUAAGCUUUACGAGUAGAGUGAUGACAGUACCAUACGAAUAAGCAUCGGCUAACUCCGUGCCAGCAGCCGCGGUAAUACGGAGGAUGCGAGCGUUAUCCGGAUUUAUUGGGUUUAAAGGGUGCGUAGGCGGUUUUUUAAGUUAGUGGUUAAACGUCGGGGCUUCACCUUGAUUUGCCAUUAAUACUGUA
rnacentral:rRNA from 1 species